AGUGAACGCUGGCGGCGUGCUUAACACAUGCAAGUCGAACGAGAACGGAUUAUAGCUUGCUAUAAUUGUCAGCUAAGUGGCGCACGGGUGAGUAAUGUAUAGGUAAUAUGCCUCUUACUAAGGGAUAACAAAUGGAAACGUUUGCUAAUACCUUAUACUCCUUAUUAACAUAAGUUAAUAAGGGAAAGAUUUAUUGGUAAGAGAUUAGCCUGUAUUGUAUCAGUUAGUUGGUGGGGUAAUGGCUUAACAAGACUAUGACACAUAACUGGUUUAAGAGGAUGAGCAGUCACACUGGAACUGAGACACUGUCCAGACUCCUACGGGAGGCAGCAGUGGGGAAUAUUGCACAAUGGACGAAAGUCUUAUGCAGCAACGCCGCGUGGAGUAUGACACAUUUCGGUGCGUAAACUCCCUUUAUAUGAGAAGAUAAUGACGGUAUUAUAUGAAUAAGCACCGGCUAACUCCGUGCCAGCCGCCGCCGUAA
rnacentral:rRNA from 1 species